UACGUAGGGGGCAAGCGUUGUCCGGAAUUAUUGGGCGUAAAGAGCGCGUAGGCGGUCCGGUAAGUCAGCUGUGAAAGCCCGAGGCUCAACCUCGGAACUGCCUUCGAUACUGCGGGUCUCGAGUCCGGGAGAGGUGAGUGGAAUUCCUAGUGUAGAGGUGAAAUUCGUAGAUAUUAGGAAGAACACCAGUGGCGAAGGCGGCUCACUGGCCCGGUACUGACGCUGAGGCGCGAAAGCGUGGGGAGCAAACAGG
rnacentral:rRNA from 1 species